rnacentral:rRNA from 1 species
GACGAACGCUUGCGGCGUGCUUAACACAUGCAAGUCGAACGGAAAGGCCCUGCUUUUGUGGGGUGCUCGAGUGGCGAACGGGUGAGUAACACGUGAGUAACCUGCCCUUGACUUUGGGAUAACUUCAGGAAACUGGGGCUAAUACCGGAUAGGAGCUCCUGCUGCAUGGUGGGGGUUGGAAAGUUUCGGCGGUUGGGGAUGGACUCGCGGCUUAUCAGCUUGUUGGUGGGGUAGUGGCUUACCAAGGCUUUGACGGGUAGCCGGCCUGAGAGGGUGACCGGCCACAUUGGGACUGAGAUACGGCCCAGACUCCUACGGGAGGCAGCAGUGGGGAAUAUUGCACAAUGGGCGGAAGCCUGAUGCAGCAACGCCGCGUGCGGGAUGACGGCCUUCGGGUUGUAAACCGCUUUCGCCUGUGACGAAGCGUGAGUGACGGUAAUGGGUAAAGAAGCACCGGCUAACUACGUGCCAGCAGCCGCGGUGAUACGUAGGGUGCGAGCGUUGUCCGGAUUUAUUGGGCGUAAGGGCUCGUAGGUGGUUGAUCGCGUCGGAAGUGUAAUCUUGGGGCUUAACCCUGAGCGUGCUUUCGAUACGGGUUGACUUGAGGAAGGUAGGGGAGAAUGGAAUUCCUGGUGGAGCGGUGGAAUGCGCAGAUAUCAGGAGGAACACCAGUGGCGAAGGCGGUUCUCUGGGCCUUUCCUGACGCUGAGGAGCGAAAGCGUGGGGAGCGAACAGGCUUAGAUACCCUGGUAGUCCACGCUGUAAACGGUGGGUACUAGGUGUGGGGUCCAUUCCACGGGUUCCGUGCCGUAGCUAACGCUUUAAGUACCCCGCCUGGGGAGUACGGCCGCAAGGCUAAAACUCAAAGGAAUUGACGGGGCCCCGCACAAGCGGCGGAGCAUGCGGAUUAAUUCGAUGCAACGCGUAGAACCUUACCUGGGUUUGACAUGGAUCGGGAGUGCUCAGAGAUGGGUGUGCCUCUUUUGGGGUCGGUUCACAGGUGGUGCAUGGCUGUCGUCAGCUCGUGUCGUGAGAUGUUGGGUUAAGUCCCGCAACGAGCGCAACCCUUGUUCACUGUUGCCAGCACGUUAUGGUGGGGACUCAGUGGAGACCGCCGGGGUCAACUCGGAGGAAGGUGGGGAUGACGUCAAGUCAUCAUGCCCCUUAUGUCCAGGGCUUCACGCAUGCUACAAUGGCUGGUACAGAGAGUGGCGAGCCUGUGAGGGUGAGCGAAUCUCGGAAAGCCGGUCUCAGUUCGGAUUGGGGUCCGCAACUCGACCUCAUGAAGUCGGAGUCGCUAGUAAUCGCAGAUCAGCAACGCUGCGGUGAAUACGUUCCCGGGGCU